AUAUCCUACGGGGGGCAGUAGUGGGGAAUAUUGCACAAUGGGGGAAACCCUGAUGCAGCAACGCCGCGUGAGUGAGGAAGUAUUUCGGUAUGUAAAGCUCUAUCAGCAGGGAAUAGAAAAGAAGGUACCUGAAAAAGAAGCCCCGGCUAACUACGUGCCAGCAGCCGCGGUAAUACGUAGGGGGCAAGCGUUAUCCGGAUUUACUGGGUGUAAAGGGAGCGUAGACGGAAAGGCAAGUCAGAAGUGAAAGCCCAAGGCUCAACCAUGGGACUGCAUUUGAAACUGUUAUUCUAGAGUAUGGGAGG
rnacentral:rRNA from 1 species